UACGUAGGGUGCGAGCGUUAAUCGGAAUUACUGGGCGUAAAGCGUGCGCAGGCGGUUCGUUAUGUCCGUUGUGAAAGCCCCGGGCUCAACCUGGGAAUGGCAAUGGAAACUGGCGGGCUAGAGUGUGGCAGAGGGGGGUGGAAUUCCGCGUGUAGCAGUGAAAUGCGUAGAGAUGCGGAGGAACACCGAUGGCGAAGGCAGCCCCCCUGGGCUAGCACUGACGCUCAGGCACGAAAGCGUGGGGAGGCAAACAGGG
rnacentral:rRNA from 1 species